rnacentral:misc_RNA from 1 species
UCUGAAUAAAAUAAAAAUAAUUUUCUUGGAGGAUCAAUAAAAUUUAAGAUAUGAUGAGCUAACAAAACGGAAUGAAUUAAUGAAUUUGUUGAAUGGCAACAGAGAUGGUUAGGAAUGGAAGAACAUUGAUAUAAACACAACGAACAAUAAAAAAGAGCUGUGGAUAAAAUGGGAUUGGGAUGGGAUCUUUCACUUGAACUGAGCAGAGCCGAAUCUGCAGCAUUCAAUCUUCUCAACCAGCCACGAUGAUGGACUUUAGAUUUCGUAGCUCAAUCAGAUGACACGCAUACACACGUAGUCUACGUCGCUUG